rnacentral:rRNA from 1 species
AUUGAACGCUGGCGGCAUGCCUUACACAUGCAAGUCGAACGGCAGCACGGGAGCAAUCCUGGUGGCGAGUGGCGAACGGGUGAGUAAUAUAUCGGAACGUGCCCGGUCGUGGGGGAUAACGUAGCGAAAGCUACGCUAAUACCGCAUACGAUCUACGGAUGAAAGCGGGGGAUCGCAAGACCUCGCGCGAUUGGAGCGGCCGAUAUCAGAUUAGGUAGUUGGUGAGGUAAAGGCUCACCAAGCCGACGAUCUGUAGCUGGUCUGAGAGGACGACCAGCCACACUGGGACUGAGACACGGCCCAGACUCCUACGGGAGGCAGCAGUGGGGAAUUUUGGACAAUGGGCGCAAGCCUGAUCCAGCAAUGCCGCGUGCAGGAUGAAGGCCCUCGGGUUGUAAACUGCUUUGUACGGAACGAAAGGUUUCUAUUAANACUAGGAGCUCAUGACGGUACCGUAAGAAUAAGCACCGGCUAACUACGUGCCAG